CUUUAUUAAUAUUUUUUUAUAGUGUAGCCUUGGCGAAAUUUGUGAUUAUAGAAUGCGUUGCUGUGGGCGCCUUGUCUUUAGCGGAAGAAUAUCCAGAAACAAACAAUAAAAUAGUUCCUAAACCAAUCGAAUAUGUAAAUGAUGAAGACGAUACGUAUAAUGUCGUCAGCUGGACGUCUUGUAAUCUAACCGAAACGCCGAUUUUUUCAUGCCACGACUGCAACACCCGAAUGUUCUGCAAUCCGAUCGGCGGCCUUCUUAUAUCCUGCAGAGAUAAUCGUCGUCCUCACUGCAACCGCGGCCUGUGCAAAUCCACACCCAGUGAUGAAUGCGCUCAAUAAAUACAAAAAUUUAAGCAGCUGUGUAUGUUUGAAGGGCACAAGGCGUCUAUUUUAAAAUGGGUUUAUCAGGAUUUUUAAAAUAUCUAUCAUUAACAGACCGUUAUGACUGUCGGUACUUGAACCAUUGUACCGUGGUUCACUUGCGGACUAAAUAAUAAUAAUAACGGUUGGUUCGAAGUAAGUAUCAGUUGAAUGGAAUUCAAAUUCAAUUCAAAUUCAAAAUCAUUUAUUUUAACUUAGAUGUCAGUAUAACACACUUGUUGAAUGUCAAAAUAUAAAUAACAAUGCUAACUCUGCCACCGGUUCCUAAAAAAGCCACAGUCCUGAGAAGAACCGGCGAAACAAACUCAGCGGGCUUUUUUUUUGUAUUUUCUCAAAAAAAAAUUUUUUAAAUAAGUAAAAAUAUUUACAAUAAACGAAAAAACAAGUAAAAAAAUACAGUUAAAAAAUUAUAAUAAUAAUAAUGAAAAAUAAAAAGGCCAGGAGCGAACGCCUCAUUCCCACGUAGUGCCAUCUAGUAAAUAAUCCUUAAUUUUAUAAUAUGCCUUGUUGCACAAACGUUCCUUGACAGUUUUCUUAAAUCUAUGAACAAGUAGUAAUUGAACAUUUUGUGGGAUCUUGUUGAAAAGUUGUACAUCCAGCCCCCUAAAAGAGUUGCUUAUUUGCUUAAUUCGAGCCGCCGGCAACGCAAGCCUAUGUUUGUUCCUAGUGUUCACAUUAUGCAAAUCGCAGACUCUGGGGAAUUCUUCAAUGUUUUUACGCACGUACAAUAAAUUUUAAAAAAUGUAUUGGGACGCUAAAGUUAGAUAUUAUUAGAAUAUUUGAAAUGUAUUCAACUGAUAAAUUUUUUUAAUAAAUGUAUCUUUUUUAUUUGGUUGGUUUUGUUAAUUUUACAUCAAUGAUACUAUGUACACAUAUGGACUUGUUGUUGUCUGAAAUAAAAUAAAUCAUACAUUCAAAUCAUUCGUUCAUUCAUUCAAUUUAAGGUCCUAUUAACUUGUCAUCUUUGCAAACGUAACAAGGACCACACAAUAAUAUUGUUACUUUGUUGUAAUUACCCCAACGAAAUUACUGGAAUAAAUUUAAUAGAUUUAAA